UCUCCAUAUAUGGGCCAAGAUGACUGGAAAUGUUCCAUGUAGCUCAGAUAGCCUCAAACUCACAACCAAUCCUCUUGCCUCAAAUACCAGAAUGUUGAAAUUCCAGAAUUGUGCUACUAUUGGUGAGUGUGUGUGAGUGUGUGUGUUUGUGUGCUCAUGUACACACUUGCAUGUGUACAUAUCACCUGAGAAGAUCAGAAAAGGCAUUAAGGGGCUGGAGAGAUGGCUCAGUGGUUAAGAGCACUGACUGCUCUUCCUUUGGAAGAGCAUGAGUUCAUGAGUUCAAAGCCCAGCAACCACAUGGUAGCUCACAACUAUCUGUAAUGAGAACUCUUCUGGUGUGUCUGAAGACAGCUACAGUGUACUUAGAUAUAAUAAUAAAUAAAUCUAAAAGAAAGAAAGAAGGAAAGAAAGAAAGAAAGAAAGAAAGAAAGAAAGAAAGAAAGAAAAGAAAAGGCAUUGAUUUUUUUGGAGUGGGGUUCUAGGCAUCUGUGAGCAGAGGAUGGGUGAGAAAAAUUCGUUUUAGUUUGCCUUGGUUUCAUAGUGAGUUCCUG
rnacentral:lncRNA from 1 species